UACGUAGGGGGCAAGCGUUAUCCGGAUUUACUGGGUGUAAAGGGAGCGUAGACGGUAAUGUAAGUCUGAUGUGAAAGCCCGGGGCUCAACUCCGGGACUGCUUUUGAAACUGUGUGACUGGAGUGCAGGAGAGGUAAGCGGAAUUCCUGGUGUAGCGGUGAAAUGCGUAGAUAUCAGGAGGAACACCAGUGGCGAAGGCGGCUUACUGGACUGUAACUGACGUUGAGGCACGAAAGCGUGGGUAUCGAACAGG
rnacentral:rRNA from 1 species